AUGGGGUCGUCUGCGGUGCAGAAGGAGGCCGUCGUCCUUAACGGCGGCGGCGGCGGGGCGGGGGAGGACCACCGGCUGCGGGCGCUGGCGGCCAGGACGGUGACGGACUCGCUCAGGGCGGCCGUGGCCAGGUCCAGCUCGGCGGAGAAGGCGGCCAGGCUCGAGGAGUGCGCCCGGAGCCUCGAGGCCGAGAAGGCCAAGAUGGAGGUCUUCCGCCGCGAGCUCCCCAUCAGCGUCCACCUCAUCGCCGACGUGAUCGAGUGGCUGAAGGAUGAGGUGGCGCAGCACCGGAGACCCGCGCCGGAUCAGCUGCUCGCACCGGCGCCGGCGCCUGCACCGCCGGCAAAGAGGAAGGCGGAGGGCGUCAAGACGGAAGCAGACGCGAGCGACAAGCGUAGCUGGAUGAGCUCCGCGCAGCUGUGGACCUGCGGCAGCCACAGCAGCACCAGCAACAGCAAUGGCGACAGCAUCAAGAAACAGGCCCAAAAGGUGUCCAAUGCAUUCAUGCCACUGAAUGGCUUGCCAACCUUAGCAAAAUCAUCGGAGAGACCAGAGGCGGCGGCCAUGGCUGUCCCGGAGCUGUCCCUCUCAUCUCCAGCGAUCGACGCCCCCUGCCCGACCGCUCCGAGUGCCGACAGCAGCGCCGUCACGGACGCUGGAGCUCAACGCGAGCAGCAGUCGGCGCAGCGGAAGGCCAGGCGGUGCUGGUCGCCGGAGCUGCACCGCCGGUUCGUCGCCGCGCUCCAGCGCCUCGGGGGCCCGCAAGUGGCCACUCCUAAGCAAAUCAGGGAGAUGAUGAAGGUGGAUGGGCUCACGAAUGAUGAGGUCAAGAGCCACCUGCAGAAAUACAGGCUGCACACACGGCGAGCAUCCGACGGCGACCAGCAGCAGUCGGCGUCGGCCGGGCAGUGGCCACGGCCGGAGCAGUACACCACGUCGCAGCACAGCUCGUCGCAGUCGGGCUCGCCUCAGGGGCCGCUGCAGCUCACCGUGUCGAGCCGGGGGAUGUCGGUGACCGUCGGAGAUAGCUGCGAUGGCGGCGAGGAGAACGAAGAGGAGGAUGGCAAGUCGGCGAGCUACAGCUGGGGGAUGCAGCAGAAGGGCACGAAGGCUUCGUCGUCGUCUUGA
rnacentral:rRNA from 1 species